ensembl:lncRNA
UUUUAAAAGCUACAUAAACCAGAGAAGAGACGGCACAACGGCAGCACGACGGCAGCACGACGGUAUCACGACUGUGUUAUUCUAUUUUAUAAGCUACAUAAGCCAGAGAGAAGGCAUAGCACAACGACAUCACGACGGCAGCACAACGGUAUCACGACUGUGUUAUUCUAGCAAGUCUUUUUGCCUUUAUUUAUAGAUAUUUUUCCGUUAUUUUAUUCAUUUUUAAUUUUUAAUUUCAGUUUUAUAAGCUACAUAAGCCAGAGAGAAGGCAUAGCACAACGACAUCACGACGGCAGCACAACGGUAUCACGACUUUGUUAUUCUAGCAAAUGUUUUUUGCCUUAUUUAUAUAAAUUUUUUACGUUAUUUUAUUCAUUUUUGAUUUUUCAUUUCAGUUUUAUAAGCUACAUAAGCCAGAGAGAAGAGAUGGCACGACAGCAGCACGAUGGCAGCACAACGUUUUAUACGCUACAUAAGCCAGAGAGAAGGCAUAGCACAACGACAUCACGACGGCAGCACAACGUUUUAUAAGCUACAUAAGCCAGAGAGAAGAGACGGCACAACGGCAGCACAACGGUAUCACGACUGUGUUAUUCUAGUAACUUUUUUUUGCCUUAUUUAUAUAUUUUCUUUUGUUAUUCUAUUCAUUUUUGAUUUUUCAUUUCAGUUUUAUAAGGUAGAUAAGCCAGAGAGAAGGCAUAGCACAACGACAUCACGACGGCAGCACAACGGUAUCACGACUUUGUUAUUCUAGCAAGUUUUUUUGCCUUAUUUAUAUCAGUUUUUUACGUUAUUUUAUUCAUUUUUGAUUUUUGAUUUCAGUUUUAUAAGCUAAGCUAGAGAGAAGAGACAGCACAAGGACAUCACGACGGCUGCACGGCGACAGCAACUAUUAAUAUUAUUAUUAUUAACUUGUUCUCGCAACUUUUUUUGCCUUAUUCAUAUUUUUAUUUGAUGUUAUUCUUUUAAUUUUUGAUUUUUCAUUUCAGUUUUAUAAGCUAGAUAAGGCAGAGAGAAGAGACGGCACAACGGCAGCACAACGGUAUCACGAGUGUUAUUCUAGCAACUGUUUUUUGCCUUAUUUAUAGAUAUUUUUACGUUAUUUUAUUCAUUUUUGAUUUUUAAUUUCAGUUUUAUAAGGUAGAUAAGCCAGAGAGAAGAGACGGCACAACGACAUCACGACGGCAGCACAACGGUAUCACGACUGUGUUAUUCUAGCAAGUUUUUUUGCCUUUAUUUAUAGAUAUUUUUCCGUUAUUUUAUUCAUUUUUAAUUUUUAAUUUCAGUUUUAUAAGCUACAUAAGCCAGAGAGAAGGCAUAGCACAACGACAUCACGACGGCAGCACAACGGUAUCACGACUGUGUUCUUCUAGCAAGUUUUUUUGCCUUAUUUAUAGAUAUUUUUUACGUUAUUUUAUUCAUUUUUAAUUUUUCAUUUCAGUUUUAUAAGCUAGAUGAGCGAGAGAGAAGAGACAGCUGCACGACUGCAGCGCGCACAGCGACAGCUCAACAAAACUAUUCAAAAAUUUAAUUCACUAAUUGUAUUUGUUGAAAUUCACUUUUGAAUUGGCUCAAGUGUCAGACAUUAUAAUCCACCUUCAUAGGUCAACACACACACUCCCACAGACGCACACAGACGCACACAGACAGAGCUGCCCGUGUGACCAUUUGUUAGCUGUGAAAUAUUAAUCACGCUCAGCUGCCGAUCCCUGCACACACCGCAGCACGCGCACACACAGACCCGCGGAGCUCGUAUUGACAUGUGGAUCGGUGACAGGGUCACACAUGCGCGCGCAUGUGCACGCCCCCUCCGCUCCUUACCGGCCUCGCCUGUGCAUCUGUGAGUCUGUAGGUCCCAGCUGUCUGAGGAUCGAAGGAGGGUGUGUUCGGUGACCUGUUCCAACCAGCCUGGUGAGAAUGUGUGUGUGUCCAAAUCCAUUGAUUUCAUACACAGCAGAGUGGAUUUAUAGCCUAAUGUUUAUGUGCAUUUUUAAAACUCUGAAGCCUCCGUGCCAGGUUCAGGUAGCUCAUCGGUUCUAUCCUGCUCUGUACAGAACACUAACCCAUAGCAUUCUGUUUGGUAGGAACCCCUGAAAUGGACUUGAACUACCCUUGGUGACGGGCUGGCAAGAACUGUGUGUGAGGUGAUGAGGAGCGACAUCUCCACGGGCUUGUCACAUAAUAUAUCGCGCCUCCACGUACCCUCUUUCAGAGUGUGUGACAUGGGAACAACCAGGGCUGCCUUAAAUCACCGUCCUUACCAUCGGCUGCUCCGCCGGGGGGGGCUCCUGGAUACUUAGCAUUCCUACAGAGACUGGAGACUGUGAGAACCAGAAGCCGUGGGCAAAAAUAUUUUUUGGUCUUAGUCUUAAAGGGUCUGAAAAACCUGUGCAGUCUUUGUGUGCGCGUUUGGGUGCUCGAGUGAACCUGAUGGUGGAAUUAAAAGCAGAUCUUUGUACUUUUCAAGAAGAGAAUCUUAAAUCAGCCGGCCAUCAGCAGGAGGGUCCCCCUACACGAGCCUGGUCCUGCUCAAGGUUUCUUCCUGUUAAAGGGGAGUUUUUCCUUGCCACAGUUGCUUGUUGGGGGGUCAGGCCCUGGGAUUCUGUUAAGCACCUACAAACAAUUGUAACAGACGCUAUAUAAAGAUUGAUUGAUUGAAUGUAUUUGCAUAAAUGUGCAUAAACUCAUCAGUACCACAGAGAUGUAACGUUGUGUGUGUGUGUUCAACACUGACUUCAUGUUUAUGUGUGUGCGUGUGCGUGCAUAAAUU